UGUAAACCCGGAGUGUUUCGAAACUAGAAUCCGCGUCGUCCGUCCAUCAGCCGUGCGAUGGCGAGCCGCUUCCUCUCCGCCGGAAUCAGACGUUUUGUGUUCGGUGCACGAACUCUGUGUAGCUCCGAAGCUUCUCGCGCUUCUGCGUUCCCUAUGCCGUUCGCGCGAAAAUUCAAAUUCUCUAAGCAGAGCCCAUUGCCGGCGCUUCAAAAUUGGGUGGACCAAGGCAACGAUGUUUCACCCUUCCAGCUAAGAAGCAUCGCCAGAACCCUCGUCAAAUCGAAACUCUACCACCACGCCCUCGAGGUAUUUGAAUGGAUAAAAAACCAGAAGAAUUUCCAUAUGAUCCCAGCUGAUCAUGCUAUGAAAUUGGAGUUAAUCAUUGAAAAUCAUGGUCUAAUGGAAGCUGAAGAAUAUUUUAUGAAUCUACCGGACUCAGCUGCAAAGAAGGCUGCAUGUCUCAUACUUUUACGUGGCUAUGUAAGAGAUAGGGACACUAGUAAAGCCGAGACUUUCAUGCUGAAGCUCUAUGAACUGGGGCUAGUGGUGAGCCCUCACCCUUUUAAUGAGAUGAUGAAACUAUAUCUAGUAACAUGUGAGUACAGGAAGGUACCCCUUGUUAUCCAGCAAAUGAAGCGAAAUAAAAUACCCUGCAAUGUUCUGUCCUACAACCUUUGGAUGAAUGCUUGUAGUGAGGAAGAAGGAUAUGUGGUUGCAGCAGUGGAGACAGUUUUCAGACAAAUGCUAAAUGACAGGAAUGUUGAAGUGGGAUGGGGCAGUCUUGCUACAUUAGCCAAUGCUUAUAAGAAAGCAGGACAAUCUAAGAAGGCCAUUCUGGUUCUCAAAGAUGCUGAAAAGAAACUAUCUACUUGUAACCGUCUUGGUCACUUCUUCCUCAUAACACUAUAUGCUUCUUUGAAGGAUAAGGAAGGAGUCUUGCGGUUAUGGGAAGCUAGUAAGGCAGUUCGUGGAAGAAUCAGUUGUGCCAACUACAUUUGUAUACUAACAUGCUUGGUGAAGCUUGGGGACAUUGUACAAGCCAAGAGAAUCUUCUUAGAAUGGGAAUCUAAUUGUCAGAAGUACGAUAUCAGAGUCUCUAAUGUUCUUUUGGGUGCAUAUGUCCGGAAUGGAUUAAUGGAAGAAGCUGAAUCAUUACAUCUUCACACAUUGCAGAAGGGUGGUUGUCCAAACUAUAAGACGUUGGAAAUUCUUAUGGAAGGAUAUGUGAAUUGGCAAAAAAUGGAUGAGGCUAUUAUUACCAUGAAAAGAGCUUUGGCUAUGAUGAAAGAUUGCCAUUGGAGGCCGCCGCAUGGAAUUGUGUUAGCCAUUGCAGAGUAUUUGGAGAAAGAUGGGAAUCUUGAAUAUGCAGACAAGUAUAUUACAGAUAUCCAUAAUUUAGGUCUUGUUAGUUUAUCAUUGUAUAAAGUAUUGCUUAGAAUGCACCUUUCUGCCAACAAACCACCUUUCCAUAUCCUUAAAAUGAUGGAUGAAGAUAAAGUUGAGAUUGAUAACGAGACACUUUCCAUUCUUAAAGCUUUCACUGAGUAGCUGAAGUGUUUAGAGGUGAAGCAGUAACCUGGAACUCAAUUUUAUUCUUAGCUUUCUUAACAUGACCAGCUAUUAACUAACAAUGCCUUACUAGUGUGGCUGGCUCACUUGUUUCCGGUUAAAACAAGUGGAGCACAAACAGUAACGGGAAUCAACCGGUGCUGAAAGAUUUUGUGGGAUCUGAAUCAGAAGAUUUUCAGUCCAACCCAUAAGUUUCAUCAAUUCAUUAAUCAGUUCCAGCAUAUUGGCGAGUAAUUUCUCCCCUUCAAUAUUACAAGAAACGAUAAUUUCCUUGCAGUUCAUGAUAGGUCGUUGGCCAUGAGCUCAGGUACGUGUCUAUUUAUGGCAAUACUUUUAUUGUUGUAUCAUACACACAUAUCAAGCAUUAACUAAGCAUCACAUAUUGCAUGAUAUGGGUGAGGCAAAGCCUUUCAAGUGGAUGAAGAUGUCAAGAGCUUGUGGAAGGCCUUGUUGUGGUUAAGCAGUUUGUCACGAGGCGACAUGCAUUCGUUGAUAACAGGAAGCUCAAGAAAAUUAUCGAACCAAGCAUCAAGCUUAGCCAUCAACUCUUCAUUAAUGAGGUUUACGCCCACAAUUUCCUCCACUAUUCGUACCCAGUAUCCAAGCCAACCAAUAGCAAUAUCAGAUUCUCUCUAGCUUCUUGUGCUGCCUUCUUUUGUUCCUCCCCUCCUUUGGAAAAGGUAGCCAUAACAGCUGGCACACACAGAAUAAGAAAAGGUCGAGUGUUAGUUACUUGUGUUCAAUAAAGCACUUAAUAACAUGCUGUGUUCUAAUUUUUUACUACCUUUUCAUCAACGAAUUCGGACCAGAAUCGCAUUGGCCUUUUCAUAGGGAUCAUGUGGAAGAAGGGAGGGAUCUUGCUUCCAGGUCUCAUCAAUAUACUCAAGAAUCACUAGUGAUUCUGCCAGGGGCUUACCGUCAUGCACGAGAGCCGGUAGCUUCUUGUGGACAGGGUUAUACUGUAGGAGCAUGGCACUCUUGUUGCCGAGAUCUUCCACAUAUUGGUACUGAAUCCCUUUUAGUUCAAGAACCCACUUGACCCUGAGGACAAAAGGACUACCCCAGAAUUAAAAACCAAACACUUGCACAGUUCUCUCAUUCUCGUGGCUUAUACUUGCACACGCGUUGAAGGAUCUUCUGUUGAUCUGAGGGGAAAAAAAGUCAUCCCAAUGAGCCUGAAAUAGUCAAAUGUUCUAAUCGUAAACGGAAAGUAGAUAUUUUGAAUAAAAGACGGACUAAGGAUCCAAUCAUGUAGGUGCAAUAAUGAAAAAUAAAACAAUAGAAUGCAAAUAAAAAGGAGAAAAAAAGAUUAUAUAUUGAAAA